GCUGGGUGUGGUGGUGCAUGCCUGAAAUCCCAGCAGCUUGGGAGGCUGAGGCAGGAGGAUUUUGAGUUCAAAGCCAGCUUCAGCAACAGUGAGGUGCUAAGCAACUCAGUGAGACCCUGUCUCUA
rnacentral:sRNA from 1 species